AGAGUUUGAUCCUGGCUCAGGAUGAACGCUAGCGGCAGGCUUAACACAUGCAAGUCGAGGGGCAGCAUGUCCAGCAAUGGAUGAUGGCGACCGGCGGAAGGGUGCGUAACGCGUGAGCAACAUGCCCUAUACAGGGAGAUACACCAGGGAAACUUGGUCUAAUAUCCCAUAGCAUUCAUUGAAGGCAUCUUUAAUGAAUUAAAGCUUCGGUGGUAUAGGAUUGGCUCGCGUGACAUUAGCCAGAUGGUGAGGUAACGGCUCACCAUAGCAAUGAUGUCUAGGGGUUUUGAGAGGAAGGCCCCCCACACUGGGACUGAGACACGGCCCAGACUCCUACGGGAGGCAGCAGUGAGGAAUAUUGGACAAUGGAUGGAAAUCUGAUCCAGCCAUGCCGCGUGCAGGAAGACGGCCUUAUGGGUUGUAAACUGCUUUUAUACGGGAGCAAUAAGGGUUACGAGUAAUCCGAUGAGAGUACUGUAUGAAUAAGGAUCGGCUAACUCCGUGCCAGCAGCCGCGGUAAUACGGAGGAUCCGAGCGUUAUCCGGAAUUAUUGGGUUUAAAGGGUGCGUAGGCGGCCAUUUAAGUCAGCGGUGAAAUUUUGCAGCUUAACUGUAACAGUGCCGUUGAUGCUGUUUGGCUAGGAUUUGGUUGUAGUGUGCGGAAUGUGUGGUGUAGCGGUGAAAUGCUUAGAUAUAACACAGAACACCGAUUGCGAAGGCAGCACACUAAGUCAUUAUUGNCGCUGAGGCCACGAAAGUGUGGGGAUCAAACAGGAAAAGAUACCUGGUAGUCCACACUGUAAACGAAGAUAACUCGCGUUCGGCGAUACACAGUCGGUGGCCAAGCGAAAGCAUUAAGUUAUCCACCUGGGGAGUACGACCGCAAGGUUGAAACUCAAAGGAAUUGACGGGGGCCCGCACAAGCGGAGGAACAUGUGGUUUAAUUCGAUGAUACGCGAGUAACCUUACCCGGGCUCGAACGGUGCAUGAAUAUAC
rnacentral:rRNA from 1 species